rnacentral:rRNA from 1 species
UACGAACGCUGGCGGCGUGCUUAACACAUGCAAGUCGAACGGAAAGGCCCUGCUUUUGUGGGGUGCUCGAGUGGCGAACGGGUGAGUAACACGUGAGUAACCUGCCCUUGACUUUGGGAUAACUUCAGGAAACUGGGGCUAAUACCGGAUAGGAGCUCCUGCUGCAUGGUGGGGGUUGGAAAGUUUCGGCGGUUGGGGAUGGACUCGCGGCUUAUCAGCUUGUUGGUGGGGUAGUGGCUUACCAAGGCUUUGACGGGUAGCCGGCCUGAGAGGGUGACCGGCCACAUUGGGACUGAGAUACGGCCCAGACUCCUACGGGAGGCAGCAGUGGGGAAUAUUGCACAAUGGGCGGAAGCCUGAUGCAGCAACGCCGCGUGCGGGGUGACGGCCUUCGGGUUGUAAACCGCUUUCGCCUGUGACGAAGCGUGAGUGACGGUAAUGGGUAAAGAAGCACCGGCUAACUACGUG